rnacentral:rRNA from 1 species
AUACGGAGGAUGCAAGCGUUAUCCGGAUUUAUUGGGUUUAAAGGGUGCGUAGGCGGAUGAUUAAGCGUGAGGUGAAAUGCCACUGCUCAACAGUGGAACUGCCUCGCGAACUGGUUGUCUUGAAUGCUCCUGCCGUGGGAGGAAUGUGUGGUGUAGCGGUGAGAUGCAUAGAGAUCACACAGAACACCGAUUGCGAAGGCAUCUCACGAAGGGGUGAUUGACGCUGAGGCACGAAAGCGUGGGGAUCAAACAGGAUUAGAUACCCUGGUAGUCCAUGCAGUAAACGAUGAUAACUAACCGCUGGGUCGUAGUGAUUCAGUGGCCAAGCGAAAGCGAUAAGUUAUCCACCUGGGGAGUACGACCGCAAGGUUGAAACUCAAAUGAAUUGACGGGG